AAGAAAAGCCAUCAAAGAUGGCAGCCACAGCAUUUUUGCAACCUAAUAUCAGAAGUUAAAUUUCAUUAUUUUUGCUGUAUUCAUUUGGUUAGAAGUCAGUAAUUAGAUACAGCUGACAUUCAAGAGGAAGGAAUUGCAGAGGGCACAGGCUGCCUACCAGAAAAGCUGAGGUAUCCAGCAGACACUAGUGUCGGGGGCGGAGACGGGUGGAGAAUCCCCGCAGUCCCUGGCCUGACUCUCCCGACAACACAGAAGAUUGUGGAAGAAUCAGACAGAGAUCGAAGUUGUACUUUUAUUCAGCAAGCAUGCAAGAGUACAGCUGCCUUUUCUCAGCGAGACAGCAAGGAGGCCGUGACCAGAUGUAGCCUUUAGUUUUGGACAUCUCAACCUCCAGAACUGUGAGCUGGAUAAACUUCAAUUGUUUGGAAUGUCCCCAAUCUACAGCAUUCUGUUAUUGCCACAGAAAAUGGACUACAACAUCAGGCAUUCUGGAGACAAAGUACUUCUGAUCUUGGGAAUGUUUGAGUGAUAAUGGCACCAGUCAUUCAAUGAUGUCCACUCACAUUGAGGGUGGACCUUUCUGUCAGUCUGCAGCCUACCAACUCACAUGUUAAUGUCCUCUGGAAACUCUCACAGACUGCUGUGGUGUGGACAUCCCCUCCAAAACUCACAUGGUGAUUUAAUUUUCUCUGUAACAGUAUUAAGACACUGUUAUCCUGGCAAUGGGUUUGUUAUCAUGAAGGUAGAUUUGUGAUGGAUGGGUUUGUCCUUAUUUCUUCUGUCUCCUAUGUGGUCAAUUGCCCGUUUGGUAUGUUGUGACACAGCACAGAGGCCCUUAUCAGAUGUUGGCACCAUGUUUUUAGACUUCCCAGCCCCCAGUAUUAUGAGUCAAAUAAACUUUUAUUGUUUGUAAAUUACCCAACUCUAAGGUAUUCUGUUAUAGA
rnacentral:lncRNA from 1 species